CAUGUUCUGAACAACAGAGUCUGCAUUUCCCAGACGUUGGAGAGCUUUUUAUCAUGUUUGGGGCAUCUCUCAUUGUCCUCCUGGCGACAUGGUGCACAGGUGAGCAGAGUAGGGUGAGCUACCUUUCAUCCAGUACCUUAAACACAGAACGGGUUCAGAGAAACUAACAGUCUUCUUCUUUCCCCAGUCUCAUGUCAGCCUGUGGUGACUCAGGAGCCUUCUAUGUCAGCCUCUCCUGGACAGACAUUUAGAUUCUCCUGUUCCAUGAGCAGUGCAACAGUGACAAACUAUUGGCAGUCUUAGUACCAGCAAA